UAAUUAUUGUCUGUGUUGCUUCUCACUGAAAGAAUACAAAGAACAAAUCAGAAGGUUUAAGUUGUGUGUGUGUGUGUGUGUGUGUGCGUGUGCGCGUGCCCAUUUUAUCCAAAUAGUUUGAAUGUUUUUUAAAGAUAAUUGCAUUGAUUUAUUAAAUUGUCUGUUUUUGGUCUUUUUACGCAAAUACAUUUCAGGUAGUACUUUUUUUUCUUUAAGAGAUUUAAUUCUUAAUCAUUAACUGUGUUACAGGGUUGGCUAGUGGAUCUCAUUAAUCGAUUUGGCACAUUAAAUGGGUUCCAGAUUUUGCAUGAUCGUUUUAUUAAUGGAUCAGGAUUAAACAUUCAAAUAAUUGCAGCUCUUAUUAAACCUUUUGGCCAAUGCUAUGAGUUUCUCAGUCAACAUACAUUGAAAAAAUACUUCAUUCCAGUUAUAGAAAUUGUUCCCCAGUUAUUAGAAAAGUUAAGUGAUGAAGAAUUGAAAAAUGAGGCCAAAAGUGAUGCCCUUUCAAUGAUUAUUAAAUCUCUGAAGAAUUUAGCUUCAAAGAUUUCAGGACAAGAAGAAACUAUAAAAACUUUAGAAAUGUUUAGGUUAAAAAUGAUACGCAGGUAAGAUAUUUUCUGCUUUAAAUUAUUAUUCAUAUAAGUUCUUAAAAAUUAUAUUUAAUACAAAUUUCUCUUACAGAUUGUUACAGAUUUCUUCCUUUAAUGGGAAGAUGAAUGCAUUGAAUGAAAUUAAUAAGGUAAUAUCUACUACAUCAUAUUAUACUCACCAUAAUCAUAAUUGUGAAGAGGAAGAGUGGCUGACAGCUGAGCGAAUGGCAGUAAGAUACUUUUGUGAAUUCCUUUAUGAAUAAGAAUCUUACAGGAAAUGGAAAUAAAGAACAACACGGGAGAGAUAAGAAAUAGAAGUUCAGAUACUUCCCCAAACUACAAAUUUUAUUUUAAAAAUAUUUCAAUAUUGGGCUGGGGAUUUAGCUCAGAGGUUUUGCCAUCUGCUGCCCAAGCACAAGGACCCAAGUUCAAUCCUUGGUACCAG
rnacentral:lncRNA from 1 species